rnacentral:rRNA from 1 species
AACGCGAAGAACCUUACCUACCCUUGACAUCCUCGGAAUCGCAUAGAGAUGUGCGAGUGCCUUCGGGAACCGAGAGACAGGUGCUGCAUGGCUGUCGUCAGCUCGUGUUGUGAGAUGUUGGGUUAAGUCCCGUAACGAGCGCAACCCCUGUCCCUAGUUGCCAGCGAUUAAAGUCGGGAACUCUAGGGAGACUGCCGGUGACAAACCGGAGGAAGGUGGGGAUGACGUCAAGUCAUCAUGGCCUUUAUGGGUAGGGCUACACACGUGCUACAAUGGUCAGUACAAAGGGUUGCCAACCAGCGAUGGGGAGCUAAUCUCAAAAAACUGAUCGUAGUCCGGAUUGGAGUCUGCAACUCGACUCCAUGAAGUUGGAAUCGCUAGUAAUCGCGGAUCAGAACGCCGCGGUGAAUACGUUCCCGGGCCUUGUACACACCGACAUA